GGGGCUGAUUCUGGAUUCGACGGGAUUUGCGAAACCCAAGGUGCAUGCCGAGGGGCGGUUGGCCUCGUAAAAAGCCGCAAAAAAAUAGUCGCAAACGACGAAAACUACGCUUUAGCAGCUUAAUAACCUGCUUAGAGCCCUCUCUCCCUAGCCUCCGCUCUUAGGACGGGGAUCAAGAGAGGUCAAACCCAAAAGAGAUCGCGCGGAUGCCCUGUCUGGGGUUGAAGCGUUAAAACGAAUCAGGCUAGUCUGGUAGUGGCGUGUCCGUCCGCAGGUGCCAGGCGAAUGUAAAGACAGACUAAGCAUGUAGUACCGAGGAUGUAGGAAUUUCGGACGCGGGUUCAACUCCCGCCAGCUCCACCA
rnacentral:tmRNA from 2 species